rnacentral:rRNA from 1 species
AUUGAACGCUGGCGGCAGGCCUAACACAUGCAAGUCGAGCGAGCGGCGGACGGGUGAGUAAUGUCUGGGAAACUGCCUGAUGGCGGGGGAUAACUACUGGAAACGGUAGCUAAUACCGCAUACCAUCAGAUGUGCCCAGAUGGGAUUAGCUAGUAGGUGGGGUAACGGCUCACCUAGGCGACGAUCCCUAGCUGGUCUGAGAGGAUGACCCGCGACCGUGGAACGGAGACACGGUCCGGCAUCCGACGGGAGGCAGCAGUGGGGAAUAUUGCACAAUGGGCGCAAGCCUGAUGCAGCCAUGCCGCGUGUGUGAAGAAGGCCUUCGGGUUGUAAAGAACUUUCAGCGGGGAGGCGUUACCAGCAGAAGAAGCACCGGCUAACUCCGUGCCAGCAGCCGCGGUAAUAC